rnacentral:rRNA from 1 species
AACAAACGCUGGCGGCGUGCCUAAUACAUGCAAGUCGAGCGGGGAAAGCUUUCGGGUGAGUACUAGUGGCGCACGGGUGGGGAACGCGUGGAUAAUCUGCCUUAGAGUGGGGGAUACUAGUCGAAGGAUUAGCUAAUACCGCAUAAGACCACAGGAGCUGCGGCUCUAGGGGUCAAAGGUUUUUCGCUCUAAGAUGAGUCCGCGUAAGAUUUGCUAGUUGGUGAGGUAACGGCUCACCAAGGCGACGAUCUUUAACUGGUCUGAGCGGAAGAUCAGUCACACUGGAACUGAGACACGGUCCAGACUCGUACGGGAGGCAGCAGUAGGGAAUAUUGCACAAUGGAGGAAACUCUGAUGCAGCGACGCCGCGUGAGUGAUGAAGGCCUUCGGGUCGUAAAGCUCUGUCGCAGGGGAAUAACACAAUGAAUGUACCCUGUAAGAAAGGAUCGGCUAACUUCGUGCCAGCAGCCGCAGUAAGAC